rnacentral:rRNA from 1 species
AGCCUGGUGCUUGCACCGGGUGGAUGAGUGGCGAACGGGUGAGUAACACGUGAGUAACCUGCCCCCGACUUCGGGAUAAGCCCGGGAAACUGGGUCUAAUACCGGAUAUGACUCUCUAACGCAUGUUGGAGAGUGGAAAGUUUUUUCGGUUGGGGAUGGGCUCGCGGCCUAUCAGUUUGUUGGUGAGGUAAUGGCUCACCAAGACGACGACGGGUAGCCGGCCUGAGAGGGCGACCGGCCACACUGGGACUGAGACACGGCCCAGACUCCUACGGGAGGCAGCAGUGGGGAAUAUUGCACAAUGGGGGAAACCCUGAUGCAGCGACGCAGCGUGCGGGAUGACGGCCUUCGGGUUGUAAACCGCUUUCAGCAGGGAAGAAGCCUUUAUCGGUGACGGUACCUGCAGAAGAAGUACCGGCUAACUACGUGCCAGCAGCCGCGGUAAUACGUAGGGUACAAGCGUUGUCCGGAAUUAUUGGGCGUAAAGAGCUCGUAGGUGGUUGGUCACGUCUGCUGUGGAAACGCAACGCUUAACGUUGCGCGUGCAGUGGGUACGGGCUGACUAGAGUGCAGUAGGGGAGUCUGGAAUUCCUGGUGUAGCGGUGAAAUGCGCAGAUAUCAGGAGGAACACCGGUGGCGAAGGCGGGACUCUGGGCUGUAACUGACACUGAGGAGCGAAAGCAUGGGGAGCGAACAGGAU